rnacentral:lncRNA from 1 species
GCUCCAAGUACUUUUAAUGUAAAAAAGAGGUCAAGCUUCCAGAUGUUUCCACCGAUUCAUAAAUAAUUGACUACUGUUACAGUUACACUGUAUUGUAAUAAAGUUAAUCCAUGUGGCUAGUAUUAGUUUGAGUAGUAUAAAACAGUUCAAUCAAUAUUUAAGUAAAUCAUAACAUUAGCUCUUAUUAGUAGUGUUUAUAACAUCCUUUUUAUACCAAUUUAUCUUUCUGGCCAAUGUACUAUUCAGAUAGCAAAGCUUAUCAAGUAGUAAAGUUAUUAACUAAGUGCAAAAUUACAAGACAUAUUUUAAUCCCAAAGAUUGUCUUAAACACUGUAAUUCAUGUAGAAAAUGUUUAUCCUGUCAGCAAUACUCAUAAAAUCCACAUGUAAUGUUUCUCUUCUUCUCUCCCUAAGGCUCACAUUUAUUCACUGUCUUCUCUUUUUUAACCUAGUUGUUCUCCAAAGGUCUCUGGGGACAAGAAGUAUUUUUUCAAUAAACUACCUGCUGUAGACUUUUUUUAUCUUUGCUCCACUGAACAGUCCUGCCCUAGCAU